rnacentral:rRNA from 1 species
GAGUUUGAUCAUGGCUCAGGAUGAACGCUGGCGGCGUGCUUAACACAUGCAAGUCGAACGGGGAUGCUUAUGGAAGGAGUGCUUGCACUUUGGAAAUGAGUAUCUUAGUGGCGGACGGGUGAGUAACGCGUGGGUAACCUGCCCCAUACCGGGGGAUACCACCUGGAAACAGGUGCUAAUACCGCAUAAGCGCACGGGAGCGCAUGCUCCUGUGUGAAAAACUCCGGUGGUAUGGGAUGGACCCGCGUCUGAUUAGCCAGUUGGCAGGGUAACGGCCUACCAAAGCGACGAUCAGUAGCCGGCCUGAGAGGGUGGACGGCCACAUUGGGACUGAGACACGGCCCAAACUCCUACGGGAGGCAGCAGUGGGGAAUAUUGCACAAUGGGGGAAACCCUGAUGCAGCGACGCCGCGUGAGUGAAGAAGUAUUUCGGUAUGUAAAGCUCUAUCAGCAGGAACGAGACAAGACGGUACCUGACUAAGAAGCCCCGGCUAACUACGUGCCAGCAGCCGCGGUAAUACGUAGGGGGCAAGCGUUAUCCGGAAUCACUGGGUGUAAAGGGAGCGUAGACGGCUGAGCAAGCCUGAAGUGAAAGGCGGGGGCCCAACCCCCGGACUGCUUUGGGAACUGUACGGCUGGAGUGCAGGAGAGGUAAGUGGAAUUCCUAGUGUAGCGGUGAAAUGCGUAGAUAUUAGGAGGAACACCAGUGGCGAAGGCGGCUUACUGGACUGUAACUGACGUUGAGGCUCGAAAGCGUGGGGAGCAAACAGGAUUAGAUACCCUGGUAGUCCACGCCGUAAACGAUGAUUACUAGGUGUCGGGGGGCAGAGGCCCUUCGGUGCCGCAGCAAACGCAAUAAGUAAUCCACCUGGGGAGUACGUCCGCAAGGAUGAAACUCAAAGGAAUUGACGG